AUUGAACGCUGGCGGCAUGCUUUACACGUGCAAGUCGAACGGCAGCACGGGGGGGUAACCCUCUGGUGGCGAGUGGCGAACGGGUGAGUAAUGUAUCGGAACGUACCGUGUAGAGGGGGAUAACUAUCCGAAAGGAUGGCUAAUACCGCAUGAGCCCUGAGGGGGAAAGCUGGGGACCGGAGACGGCCUGGCGGUAUACGAUCGGCCAAUGUCCGAUUAGCUAGUUGGUGAGGUAAAGGCUCACCAAGGCGACGAUCGGUAGCGGGUCGGAGAGGACGAUCCGCCACACUGGAACUGAGACACGGUCCAGACUCCUACGGGAGGCAGCAGUGGGGAAUUUUGGACAAUGGGCGCAAGCCUGAUCCAGCAAUGCCGCGUGAGUGAAGAAGGCCCUUGGGUUGUAAAGCUCUUUCGGUCGGGAAGAAGGAGGAGUGGUUAAGAGCUACUCUGACGGACGGUACCGGCAUAAGAAGCACCGGCUAACUACGUGCCAGCCGCCGCGGUAA
rnacentral:rRNA from 1 species